rnacentral:ncRNA from 1 species
CCUGCGGGUGGAGCUGAAAUCAGUCGAAGAUACCAGCUGGCUGCAACUGUUUAUUAAAAACACAGCACUGUGCAAACACGAAAGUGGACGUAUACGGUGUGACGCCUGCCCGGUGCCGGAAGGUUAAUUGAUGGGGUUAGCGGCAACGCGAAGCUCUUGAUCGAAGCCCCGGUAAACGGCGGCCGUAACUAUAACGGUCCUAAGGUAGCGAAAUUCCUUGUCGGGUAAGUUCCGACCUGCACGAAUGGCGUAAUGAUGGCCAGGCUGUCUCCACCCGAGACUCAGUGAAAUUGAAAUCGCUGUGAAGAUGCAGUGUACCCGCGGCAAGACGGAAAGACCCCGUGAACCUUUACUAUAGCUUGACACUGAACACUGGUCCUUGAUGUGUAGGAUAGGUGGGAGGCUUUGAAGCGUGGACGCCAGUCUGCGUGGAGCCAUCCUUGAAAUACCACCCUUUAAUGGCUGGUGUUCUAACGUGGGCCCGUAAUCCGGGUUGCGGACAGUGUCUGGUGGGUAGUUUGACUGGGGCGGUCUCCUCCUAAAGAGUAACGGAGGAGCACGAAGGUUAGCUAAUCCUGGUCGGACAUCAGGAGGUUAGUGCAAUGGCAUAAGCUAGCUUGACUGCGAGAGUGACGGCUCGAGCAGGUGCGAAAGCAGGUCAUAGUGAUCCGGUGGUUCUGUAUGGAAGGGCCAUCGCUCAACGGAUAAAAGGUACUCCGGGGAUAACAGGCUGAUACCGCCCAAGAGUUCAUAUCGACGGCGGUGUUUGGCACCUCGAUGUCGGCUCAUCACAUCCUGGGGCUGAAGUAGGUCCCAAGGGUACGGCUGUUCGCCGUUUAAAGUGGUACGCGAGCUGGGUUUAGAACGUCGUGAGACAGUUCGGUCCCUAUCUGCCGUGGGCGCUGGAGAAUUGAGGGGGGCUGCUCCUAGUACGAGAGGACCGGAGUGGACGCAUC